UCCAGCUGUGCUCCGAACCUCAAGGGCAACAAAACUAUCAGUACCUGCCUCCACUCCUUCUGUCUGGGUGCUCUUGAGAUCGCGGGGUGUUGCCGCAAGACCCUUUUGUGCCUGGAUGCCGGACGUAUGUUCCUACCUAACGUGCCCAUGGGGAGUGAGGGGUCAUCACCUGCACCAACGGGUGGCAUUUCUGUAUUACAGCAAAAGGCUGUCCCUCCCAAACCUGGGAUUCUGGGCUCACUGAGUUCACCUGCGAGUCAGCCCUACCUGCUCUGCUCUGGUCUAGUACAAACAGGCUGCUGGCAUUGAGGGACGGAGUCUCCAACUCCUGGCCUCUAGCAGUCCUCCUGUGUAGGUCUCCCAAAGUGCUAGUGUGUCCGGAAUUGGUGGGUUCUUGGUCUCACUGACUUCAAGAAUGAAGCCGCGGACCCUCGCAGUGAGUGUUACAGUUCUUAAAGGCAGCGUGUCCGGAGUUUGUUCCUUCUGAUGUUCAGAUGUGUUCGGAGUUUCUUCCUUCUGGUGGGUUCGUGGUCUUGCUGGCUCAGGAGUGAAGCUGCAGACCUUCACAGUGAGUAUUACAGCUCAUAAAGGCAGUGUGGACCCGAACAGUGAGCAGCAGCAAGAUUCAUUGUAAA
rnacentral:lncRNA from 1 species